AUGACCGGGAGCAAGGACUUGGUGGUGGAUGUGCAAGAGACUCCAUCUAUGCCCACCAAUGUCGAGUGGGGUGAUGCAUCACAUUCUAAGGUAUUGGGCCUCGGCAAGGUUGUCAUUUCUCAUGAUCUAACGAUCGAGAAAGUCAUGCUUGUUGAGUCCCUUGCAUUCAAUUUACUUUCCGUUCGUCAACUUGCACUCAUGGGUUUUGCCACAUUCUUUGAUAUUGAUACCGUGGCCCUCUUGUGGAGCAAGACUCUUAAAGUAGCCUUUGUUGGGCAUGUCGAGAACGGUCUCUAUGUGGUUAACUUUUCGGAGCAACCCACUAAGACCGCGACAUGCCUAAUGGCUAAAGUUGACGUGGGAUGGCUUUGGCAUCGCCGAUUGGCCCACGUCAAUAUGAGAUCUUUGCAAAGUCUCCUCAAGGGGGACCAUGUUCGUGGACUAACAAAUGUGAGUUUUGCCAAAGAUCGUGCGUGCAGUGCUUGUAUCGAAGGAAAGCUUCAUGAAAAGGCACACCCUCCCUCAACCAUCAUCUACUCGAAGAGACCCUUGGAGCUCCUUCACAUGGAUCUCUUUGGGCCUCCAUCUUUUGAUAGUCUUGGAGGAAGAAAGUAUUGCUUGGUGAUUGUGGAUGAUUACUCAAGAUAUACUUGGGUAUACUUCUUCAAGAGGAAGAGUGAGACCCAACAAACCGUCAUCAACUUUGCAAAUGAAGCUCAACGUCAACAUGAUGCAAAGAUCUUGACAAUAAGAAGCGACAACGGCACCGAGUUCAAGAACUACACCUUGGAUGAGUUUCUUAGUGACGAGGGGAUCAAGCAUCAAUAUGCGGCACCUUAUACCCCUCAACAAAAUGGUGUUGCGGAGAGGAAGAACCGGACGUUGAUGGAUGCGGCAAGGACCAUGAUGGCGGAGUUCAAGUCUCCAUACAACUUUUGGGCCGAAGCCAUCAACACAGCAUGUCAUGCAUCCAAUCGGCUCUAUCUUCGCAAAGGCUUGAACAAGACUCCUUAUGAGAUCCUC
rnacentral:rRNA from 1 species